GGUGAACGCUGGCGGCGUGCCUAAUACAUGCAAGUCGAACGCUGGAAAUCUAGCUUGCUAGAUUGAAGGAGUGGCGAACGGGUGAAUAAUACAUAAGCAACCUACCCACGAAGACUGGGAUAAUCUCUGGAAACGGGGACUAAUACCGGAUAGGUAAUCGGAAGGCAUCUUCUGAUUAUUAAAGGUUAAAAACACUGGUGGAUGGGCUUAUGGCGCAUUAGUUAGUUGGUGAGGUAACGGCCCACCAAGACGAUGAUGCGUAGCCGGCCUGAGAGGGUGAACGGCCACAUUGGGACUGAGACACGGCCCAGACUCCUACGGGAGGCAGCAGUAGGGAAUUUUCGGCAAUGGGGGAAACCCUGACCGAGCAACGCCGCGUGAGUGAUGACGGCCUUCGGGUUGUAAAGCUCUGUUGUAAGGGAAGAACGGUAGAUAGAGAAUAUCUAAAUGACGGUACCUUACCAGAAAGCCACGGCUAACUACGUG
rnacentral:rRNA from 1 species